GCCGAAUUAUAACAUAAACACAAGCAUAUUUCAAAUUAUUAAAACAAACCAUUUGAUACACUAAGUAGAUGUGAUCGAACAGUAAAUAAUCCCCACACAGUACCGUAAGGGAAACUAACAAGCAAAAAACAGCAAAGAUUAACCCUUGUACCUUUCGCAUCAUGGUCUAGCAAGAAACUAAGGACAAGAAGACUCACAGCCCAUACCCCGAAACCAGAUGAGCUACUUUAAAGCAGCCCAAUAGAGCACACCCUUCUCUGUAGCAAAAGAGUGGGAAGACUUAAAAGUAGAGGUGAAACGCCAAUCGAAUCUGGAGAUAGCUGGCUACCCAAAAAAGAAUAUUAGUUCCACCUUAGGCCACUUAAAUACCAACUAAUUAUGCCUAAAGAGAUUCAAUAGGGGUACAGCUCUAUUGAAACAGGAUACAACCUGACUUUGUGAGCACACCUCACCCAACCAUGACCCGUAGGCCUUAAAGCAGCCAUCUAACAAAAUAUCGUUAUAGAAUUAGACACUAAAUUAAAAAACACAACAAAAACUCCAAACUAACUAAGGGUAAACCCACUACCGUGGGUUCUAUUAUGCUAGAACUAAUAAUAAGACAACCUCUCUACACGCACCCAUCCGCUAGAAACAGAAAGACUACUAGCCAUUAACAGACCACAAUAGGAAAUCAACAAACAAUACACACCAAAAUAAACACUGUGAACCCAACACAGGUGCGUCAAAAAGAAAGAUCAACCAUUAUAAAAGGAACUCGGCAACCAAAGACCCCAACUGUUUAACAAAAACAUAACCUUUAGCCACAAACAAGUAUUAAAGGCAACGCCUGCCCAGUGAACAAUUAAACGGCCGCGGUACCCUAACCGUGCAAAGGUAGCGAAAUCAUUUGUCUAUUAAUUGUAGACCUGUAUGAAAGGCACAAUGAGGGCCUAACUGUCUCUUAUAAUAAAUCAAUUAAACUGAUCUUUUAGUACAAAAGCUAAAAUACCAACAUAAGACCAGAAGACCCUGUGAAGCUUUAACUAACCUAUUAAACCCAAUAAUAGCUACUUUCGGUUGGGGCGACCUUGGAAAAAAAAGGAACUUCCAAACUAUGACUAAAACUCACAAAAGGCCUACAAGCCAACAACGACCCAGCAUAGCUGAUAAUCGAACCAAGUUACUCCAGGGAUAACAGCGCUAUCUUCUUCAAGAGCCCAUAUCAAAAAGAAGGUUUACGACCUCGAUGUUGGAUCAGGACAUCCUAAUGGUGCAGCAGCUAUUAAGGGUUCGUUUGUUCAACGAUUAACAGUCCCACGUGAUCUGAGUUCAGACCGGAGCAAUCCAGGUCAGUUUCUAUCUAUGAUGUGCUAUACCCCGUACGAAAGGAUCGGUAUAACAAAGCCAAUGCUACAAGCACGCUUUAACUAAAGAUAUAAAUCAAACCCGUACAACAACUUCUCUUCCAAGCCUAGAAAAGGCCAUUAAGGACACCCCUUA
rnacentral:rRNA from 1 species